GGCCUUUCAGUCCACCUACGUUGCAGAAGUCACACACACCAGCUAUGAGAGAUAACACCUGAGGGUAGGCUCUGUGUCUUCUAGCCAUUUGGCCUUUGGCAAGUCACUCAGCUCUCAAGCCAAAUGGGGAUUAAAAAGAGUGUCUGCUUCAGGAAGCCACAAGGAGCUACAAGAAACUGAAGUGGCCAAUGUUCCUGAGACAUUCCCAUGCGGAUCCGCCCCCACCCCUUCCUGUCGGUUGGGAGGACCGAUUUCCUGGACCAGACAAUGGCUGCUUGUGUGCACAGACCUUUAGCUGAGGAACAGCAGCCUGCACAGCCGGACCUGUGGGGACCAGAGCAGCCCUGCUCAGGGACACGCUGCUCCCCCCAGCCCCACCCAUGCAAGGCUCUUGGGAAGACAGAAGCAGACUUUCCAAGCACGC
rnacentral:lncRNA from 1 species